UGCCUGGUGGUGUAAUGGUAACACACGAGAAUUUGGAUCUCGUUUUCAAGGUUCGAAUCCUUGCCGGGCAG
rnacentral:tRNA from 1 species